rnacentral:piRNA from 1 species
UCACAAGCCUUCACUGUCCUGGCAUGA